UACGGGGGGGGCAAGCGUUGUUCGGAAUUACUGGGCGUAAAGGGCUCGUAGGCGGCCAACUAAGUCAGACGUGAAAUCCCCAGGCUCAACCUGGGAACUGCGUCUGAUACUGGAUGGCUUGAAUCCGGGAGAGGGAUGCAGAAUUCCAGGUGUAGCGGUGAAAUGCGUAGAUAUCUGGAGGAAUACCGGUGGCGAAGGCGAGUCUCUGGGAUGAUGCUGACGCUGAGGCGCGAAAGCGUGGGGAGCAAACAGG
rnacentral:rRNA from 1 species